ensembl:lncRNA
GCCAGAGAGCAGUGAUUGGUCAGACCAUAGAUAAUAUAGAAGACAGCGCGCUAGCGUAUCUAGGCUUCACUAUAUAUCUAUGGUCGGCACGUCUGGUAGCAUCUGUGGCUGCUGUUGACCUUGUUUUUGGAGUAAAACACGGUGGAAGCUGAAUUAGUGAGAAUGACUCCUGCUCCUGUCAUCUCUAAGCUCCUCACACAUCUUUACCUGCACAUGAGGAAAAUCACUCCUGUAGAAUGCAGAUGUUCAGAGGGAGAUGAUGCCACAUCUGGUCCAGCUGAUGGAAGGUCUUGAAGUUCUCUGACUGGCCUCGACUGAAGAUGGUCGUCUCACUGGAUUUAAGGUUCAGAUGCUCAGUAACAAACUCCACCAAUGAACCAACAGGGAACCUUUAGGUUUAUUAAAUGUUGCUAUGAAGGUAUCGCUGUUUUUCUUUGUGAAUGCAAUGUGCUCCAACUGAAACUUGAAUUAGAACUUAGAAGUAAAUCCUUCCAUCUGAAAGGAUUUAGUUGCAUUAAUAACCUCAUAACAUUCAAAUUUUUAUUCCAGUCUUGGUUGAAAAUAGAAUCUCUGUAUUGAUUCAGGUAAAAACUGAACUUCAAAGCAUGUUGGAGCAAAACAACCAGAUGAAAACUGUGAUGGUGUUGGAUUGUCAGACCGUAAUGUUGCAGCUCAAAGCAGCUUUUCUAUCUCAGUUCAUUCUGACAUUCAGCUAUGAAUCAACACAGCAGAUGGUGAUCCAUGCUGUGGAAGUCUCACAUCUCCUGAUUUAAUGGAGCUGCUUUGCACUUUUUACACUGUUUAUUCACCAACACUUUAUUUAAUAAAAGUCCCAUCUAGUUUUUAUGAGGAAUGUGAUGUUUUAAUCUCUCUGUGAAUAACUGCAGUCUAAUGCAACAGCUGGAGUUGUAACAUCUGUCCUGAUAUUGAUCAUGAAGUAUUGAUCAGAAUACUUAUGGUCAGCAGUCAUCCCUGAAGUUUUACAUUAAAAUCUUUACUUGUGUUGUGAACUUUGGUAAGAAGCAGAAACGUUAGCGUUGCCAUGGAUACAUGAGUGUUAAAUUCUGUCCAUGUUUCCAUUUUGGGAAAUGCAGUCCAGUUCCAGAAUGUGGAGGAAUUUAGUCUCACAAUCACAGACAAUAAAUAUUAUCUGAAAGUCGGGUUAUUGUUGUUUAUCAGCACAAUACAAAAAGAUUAAUGUUAGAAAUAUUCCAGUUAAGACUCUAGAAUAUCAUGAUUUAUGUAAAUUUACCUCAAUAAUACGAAUGUUCAGGUUAAGAUUGUACAGUGAUAUUUAUUAUGUAAGUUUAGCUGAUUAAAGUUUAUGACUCUGCACUACAAUAUUAUUUAAAUUGACAUCAUUAUUAUAAUAUUUAGGGUUAGACCCUACAGUAUUGAGAUUAAGAAAUCAAAUAUUCUAUAAAAUAUAAAUACACUGAACUCAUUUGGAUAUAUUUAAGUGAGACUCUACAAUAUUAUUUGACACAAAUCUAUCUAAAUCAAAUUUUAAUAAUUUUCACACCAAACAUUUACUGGACUGAUUUAAAUAUUAAAAUCACUCCUUUCUAAUCCUCUGCUGUGCAUUCAAACCUGAGGCCUUAAGUAGAAACACACAAGUAUCUGUUUGAAGGAACGUCUGAAGAGUCCUGGUUCCAGAACAUGAUGAUAGAAUUAUAGACAAACUUCAACAAAAGCUGUCUGAGAGUUUACAGGUUUUUAUGUUGGAUUUCUUCAGUAAUUUAAUGAGCGUUAUCAGCAAUAAUCAAGUGUUCAUUUGAUGAACUUGAUUUCCUAAAACAUCCAGAAUUGGAGCUCAUGUCUUUGGCAGCUGUAAAGUUUCUGCUCCUUCAAAGUUCACAACACAAUGAAUGAAUUCCUAAAACACUCUCAAUGCUGGAGAGCGUUUGUGAUGCUGAAGCAGUGAUCAGUUUUUCUGUUUCUUCUCUGGAGAUGCACAAUGAGGGAUGUCUGCAGCAACUGAGAAAGAGUCUCACCACAUCCUGACAUGAGGAAAAAGACUUUAUUGAAGACUACAAUGAGAAAAAGUAUCAGACAGCAGACGGCUGCAUUCAAGGUGAGCUCUGAACAUUUGAUCUGGAACAGGAAUUCAAUAACGGCAGCAUGAGCUUCAUUUCAGUCUGUAGCUGCUGAAUUCAUGGAUGAAUCAUCUGGCACUAGAGAAGAAGACCAUCAAACAUCCACGUCAGCUGAUGGAGGUCCAAGAGUCUCACCAAACAACCAACCUACAGAGUGAAGACCUCGAAUCUGAUUGGACGGCCUCCUAUUCAGCCACAUGUGAACAAAUGCCUCUAAGUUGAUUUGUUUUCUAAAAUAAAUCUAGUUUGAGUCCUAAUCUAUGCCUGUGUGUUUGCUUCUUUACACUGCUGUUAACAGUUUAGGCUGUUAGAUUGUUCCAGAUAAGACAAGUACAAGAUUCUUCAGAGCCGUUCUACCACGAGCCUGACAGGAAGAACUCCAACAGCUACUGAAUGUUCCUGUGGUCCCCUCAAGGCUACAGGAGGAGCCCUACGAGGACGAGCUGGUCCACCUGAUGGUGGCCUACAUGAGAGCUUUAAUUAUUCUUCAUCUACUUCCUGAAAAGUUUG